UACGGAGGGUGCGAGCGUUGUCCGGAAUCACUGGGCGUAAAGGGCGCGUAGGUGGCCUGUGGAAGUCUGCGGUGAAAGCCCGGCGCUCAACGCCGGGUCGGCCGUGGAUACUCUCGGGCUCGAGCUUACUAGAGGCAGAUGGAAUUCCGGGUGUAGCGGUGGAAUGCGUAGAGAUCCGGAAGAACACCGGUGGCGAAGGCGGUCUGCUGGGCAGUAGCUGACGCUGAGGCGCGACAGCGUGGGGAGCAAACAGG
rnacentral:rRNA from 1 species